AUUAUUUGCAAGGGGCACCGUAUUACUUGAAAGACGGAGAUACUAUUGGUGUUAAGAAUCUCCUGAUUGACGACGAUGAUGAUUUCAGUACAAUCAGAGAUGACACUGGAAAAGAAAAGCAGAAACAACGGGCCCUGGGGAGAAGGAAAAGUGUCUGUGUCUCCGCAGCCAAGAAGCCCUCCACGAGCAGAGCAGCUACAUCCUCUCCAGUGCAGAGACGCCUGCCCGGCCCCGAGCCCCGGAAACUUCUCUCUCCAUCCACGUGGGGAGCUUCAGAUAACCGUGCCGCUGCACGGCUCCACUCCCGAUGAACUCUCCGGCUGAUGCCACAAACGUGGGUUUCCUGGGCAUGGGGACUGGCUGCCUGGCGCCUCCAAUCCCAAAUCCUCUGCUUCCUUUGAGCACAGGGACGGCUCCUCUGAGGCCUGGCCAGUGCAUGUAGUCACUUAGCUCUGCAACACGUGGCAGCCACGGGGGCUGGUGCAGCUCUGGACCCAGCUGCCAGUAGGUGCUGGGCUCUCUCACACAGCGCCUGGCCCCAGCCGCCUUUUUUUUUCUUUUAACCAGAAAAUGCACAACGUAUGCGUGAACCGCAGGUAUGGAGGCAGCGGCAUGCCGUCGCCCCGCUGUGGGAGGUGUGUGGGGUCAGCCCAGCCACUUACCUCUGUGUUCAGAUGACUCUCGUUCGCCCUGACCGGGUUCUCACAGCAUCUCAGGCCACUGCGCCACCGCGCUGGUGCUGAGCAGAAGCGGGGUCUGCUUUCAGGACUUCAUUUCCCCCACUCGUUCUGGCCGCACAUGCUCCAUGUCUGCCCUUUGGUCUGAGUUAAAACUGCGAUGCUGAAAAGUGCGAGCUCUUUCCCCGAGGAGGAGCCACACAGGGCGGCCUCCGAGGGUGAGUCGCUCUGCUAAGCAAGGGCGGCCGCUGCACGUCAGCCCGCAGGCCGAGGGUCCAGCUUAUCCUGGGUGCUCUGUGAUCAGAAGGUCCUUGGAUCCCGAGGACUGCGGCUGCUGCCGUCCACAGCGCCUCAGCCUCUCUUCCUGUGUGGAAGCGGGGCAGGCAGGGCUGUGGCAGACAGGCCUGGCAUAGCCCAGGUUCCAGGUGUCCUGGGCAGCCUGACUGGGUUCCUGAGUAGCCUCAAUGAAAACACCUGAGAAAAAGAAAAUGUAAACUAAGGAAGGGUUUUUCCACUUAAUCCAACCCAGAUUUCUAUUCAACUUAAAGGAUUUAAUUGGCAUUUGUGAGAAAUAAUAGCACCUGUGUCACUGAGUUGAUUGAUUUGGGACACAGACGGUUGACUUUCCCAGACAGCAGCUUAGCGGAAAGCAGCAUCCCGAAGACGGUGUCGCAUGUCCUGAGCCUGCUUGUCACCUGGGCCUCACGGUUUCUCGUCAGCCCCGUCACUGAUGGGAAGCAGCACUGAAGUGUGAGGGCAGAAAGGACACCGCUGGAGUCAGGCGCUCCCCUGCCUGUGACCCUUUUCCAACAAGCUGAUGCUGAGCCAGCGGCCUGCUCUGUCCCGCAUACUCCUCCCAACAGUCCAAACCACUACCAGACAGAAGCCACAUCGCUUCUGCACACGUGUCUGAGAGCGUCUGCCAUAGACACUGUGCGUUUCCGUGAAGCACUGCGCCCUAAGGACCCAACUCUGACUAGCAGCUGCCUCCCACUCCCAAACACUAACCCCGCUCAGGAGACUCGCACUGGGUGUAGACUGCGUCUUUGCAGAGGGAGAUGAUAGAGGCUUCUGAUGACGCCAGAGCUGUAAGUGUCGUGAUGAGCUGGGCGCCCAGCCCUUCUUAAGCUGUUCUGUUUCUGUGGCUUUAACUGACAUAUUUCUGUAGCAUCCGCCUUCAUCUCAUCUCAGCGUAAUGAAAUAUUAAUGAAAUUGCUGAAAAGCUUUGCCUUCGAGAGGCCAGAAGCCUCGCGGAAUGUCUGCAAGUCCAAAGACGCGUGUGGGUUGUGCCCUGAAGUGCCGUCCAGCAGGCGCGUGCGGCCGGGCCGGCCUGUGCGUGUGGCCUUUGCCUUCUUCCCUUUCUUCCUGUUUUCUGUUUUUUUAAUUUGGGGAUUGAGAAAGCUGUACGAUUUUG
rnacentral:lncRNA from 1 species